ACCUUAGACAACGGAUGUCUUGGCUCCUUACACGAAGAAGAACGUUGCAUAAUGUGAUAAGUGGCUGGAGUGGCAACAUUACGACAAGUUCAAUCUUUGAAUGCAUAUUGCGCUUACAUUUAGCCUCUGGCUUGAUGUAAUGCAUAUCUGAUUCAGUAACUC
rnacentral:rRNA from 1 species